rnacentral:rRNA from 1 species
AGGCCCUUCGGGGUACUCGAGCGGCGAACGGGUGAGUAACACGUGAGCAACCUGCCCUAGGCUUUGGGAUAACCCCGGGAAACCGGGGCUAAUACCGGAUAGGACCUUUCCUCGCAUGAGGUUUGGUGGAAAGUUUUUCGGCCUGGGAUGGGCUCGCGGCCUAUCAGCUUGUUGGUGGGGUGAUGGCCUACCAAGGCGACGACGGGUAGCCGGCCUGAGAGGGCGACCGGCCACACUGGGACUGAGACACGGCCCAGACUCCUACGGGAGGCAGCAGUGGGGAAUAUUGCACAAUGGGCGGAAGCCUGAUGCAGCGACGCCGCGUGAGGGAUGACGGCCUUCGGGUUGUAAACCUCUUUCAGCAGGGACGAAGCGCAAGUGACGGUACCUGCAGAAGAAGCGCCGGCCAACUACGUGCCAGCAGCCGCGGUAAGACGUAGGGCGCGAGCGUUGUCCGGAUUUAUUGGGCGUAAAGAGCUCGUAGGCGGCUUGUCGCGUCGACUGUGAAAACCCGCGGCUCAACUGCGGGCCUGCAGUCG